UACCAGCCCUACCCGCCUAAGC
rnacentral:piRNA from 1 species